AGUGAACGCUGGCGGUAGGCCUAACACAUGCAAGUCGAACGGCAGCACAGGAAAGCUUGCUCUCUGGGUGGCGAGUGGCGGGCGGGUGAGGAAUACAUGGGACUCUACUUUUUCGUGGGGGAUAACGUAGGGAAACUUACGAUAAUACCGUAUACGACCUACGGGUGAAAGCAGGGGCCCUUCGGCCCUUGCGCGAUUGAAUGAGCCGAUGUCGGAGUCGCGAGUGGGCGGGGUAAAGGCCCACCAAGGCGACGAUCCGUAGCUGGUCUGAGAGGAUGAGCAGCCACACUGGAACUGAGACACGGUCCAGACUCCUACGGGAGGCAGCAGUGGGGAAUAUUGGACAAUGGGCGCAAGCCUGAUCCAGCCAUACCGCGUGGGUGAAGAAGGCCUUCGGGUUGUAAAGCCCUUUUGUUGGGAAAGAAAUCCAGCUGGCUAAUACCCGGUUGGGAUGACGGUACCCAAAGAAUAAGCACCGGCUAACUUCGUGCCAGCCGCCGCAGUAA
rnacentral:rRNA from 1 species